UACGUAGGGUGCAAGCGUUGUCCGGAAUUAUUGGGCGUAAAGAGCUCGUAGGCGGUCUGUCGCGUCGGCUGUGAAAACCCGUGGCUCAACCACGGGCCUGCAGUCGAUACGGGCAGACUAGAGUGCGGUAGGGGAGACUGGAAUUCCUGGUGUAGCGGUGAAAUGCGCAGAUAUCAGGAAGAACACCCGUGGCGAAAGCGGCUCUCUGGAACGGUACUGACGCUGAGACGCGAAAGCGUGGGAGCGAACAGG
rnacentral:rRNA from 1 species